AUUGAACGCUGGCGGCAGGCCUAACACAUGCAAGUCGAACGAGUGGCGGACGGGUGAGAAAUGUCUGGGAAACUGCCUGAUGGAGGGGGAUAACUACUGGAAACGGUAGCUAUUACCGCAUACCUUCGGAUGUGCACAGAUGGGAUUGGCUAGUGGGUGGUGGAAAGGCUCACCUAGGCGACGAUCCCUAGCUGGUCUGAAAGGAUGACCAGCCACACUGGACCUGGAACACGGUCCAGACUCCUACGGGAGGCGGCAGUGGGGAAUAUUGCACAAUGGGCGCAAGCUGGAUGCACCCAUGCCGCGUGUAUGAAGAAGGCCUUCGGGUUUUAAAGUACUUUCAGCGGGGAGGCGGUACCCACAGAAGAAGCACCGGCUAACUCCGUGCCAGCAGCCGCGGUAAUUC
rnacentral:rRNA from 1 species